AUAAUGCUCUGAAUCACCUUCCAGGAGAAUCUAUCUUUUUUCCAUUUACUACAGGCAGCUGAGUUCGGUAAUGCGAAUCCCUACGUGCAACAACCAACACAGCAUCCUAGAAUACUUUAGGUGGAAAGGGACCUCUGGAGGUCAUCUGGUCCAACUCCAGCACUGAAAGCAGUGCUAAUUUCAAAGUUACUUUAGAUAAUUAAAGCUGUCAUUUCAUCACUGUUAAUAGCUGGUAUUUGCAGCACAACCAAGUGCACUCCAUGUGGACGUGAAUGCUCCAAGGACUUACCAUCAUAGGCUGAAAGACAGACAAAUAAAAAGUCAUAGAGUAAAGAAAAGAGCAAGCACUGAGUCUGGAAGAAUAAAAAGACAAUUGUGUAUAGUUUGCCUUAUAAAUAUAUAUAUGCAUGCGAUUUCAGGGCCUACAGGCAGGUGAGCACCAAUGCCUUUGAUGACUGACCAUGUUUCAGGGUUGGGGGGAUGUUGGUACAGCUCUGUGCGUGCUCCUAAGCACCCACAGCCCCCUGUGCUGAGCAGCAGUGAUGGAGGAGCACAUAUUUCCUCUCUUACUGGCUUCCAACACCACAACACUUGAACUCUUCAGUUUGUUUCAAUUACCUCCUGGUUUUGAGAAGGAAAGGAGGACCUCACCAUGCAGCAGGGACGCCUUGUGGUAACGCAGGACACAUGAGGAAAGGACAAGGCCCGAGAGCUGCAGAGAAGGCUCCACACAAACAAGGCUCAGUUCAAAGCCAGGCACAAGAACCUCACUGGCCACAUUUGAGAAAAUAAACCUCAACAACCCCCUACAUCAAGACAGUAUAAUUUUAUAAGUGGUUACAUAAAUUAUCUUCUAAAAACUUUGUGAAGAAAUAUCUUGUGGUAUUGAGAAAUACACAAUGCUGCAACUCUAAAGGUCAAGAUUUCAUGGUUUAAAACACUACACAUCCAUAAAUAUGGUACAGUAGACCAAAUACAAAUGACCAAAAGUUGCAACUUUCAGAAACAAACUCUGUGCUGUGUUGAAUUUAUAAAAUUUAGAUGACAGCAGGGAAAACCACAUACCUACACAGCACAAGGGCAAAACACCACAAAGCACCACAUGCUGCUCUGCCCUUCUCUAGGCAUACAAUAAUCAGCCAUUUACCCAAGCCUGGUGCAAGCGUGGUCUUCUCAGCCUCUGGAAACACAUAAACCUGGAAAGCUGUACUUUAUGUUAUACAGAUGUUAUUAAGUGCCUUAGGAACAGGAAACCAAAUUGUAUAUUAUCAGAAAUAUGAAACAGACAACUGGAAGUGAAGUGGUUGAGCUGUACAUUUUCCCUACAGAUUUCUUUGUGCCUGAGUUUCCAGUAUUAAAGUUGCCUCAUUCCAGCACAGAAAUAUCUUAAUUAAUUAAAAAUAAUAAUUGCAUGAAAGGUUACUUACAGAGAAGAAAAUAGUUCCAAAGCUUCCAAGCAA